rnacentral:rRNA from 1 species
AUUGAACGCUGGCGGCAUGCUUUACACAUGCAAGUCGAACGGUAACAGGGAGCUUGCUCCGCUGACGAGUGGCGAACGGGUGAGUAAUGCAUCGGAACGUACCGUGUAAUGGGGGAUAACGUAGCGAAAGUUACGCUAAUACCGCAUACGCCCUGAGGGGGAAAGCGGGGGAUCGUAAGACCUCGCGUUAUACGAGCGGCCGAUGUCGGAUUAGCUAGUUGGUGGGGUAAAGGCCUACCAAGGCGACGAUCCGUAGCGGGUCUGAGAGGAUGAUCCGCCACACUGGGACUGAGACACGGCCCAGACUCCUACGGGAGGCAGCAGUGGGGAAUUUUGGACAAUGGGGGCAACCCUGAUCCAGCCAUGCCGCGUGAGUGAAGAAGGCC